AGCGCAGGUGGUUUCUUAAGUCUGAUGUGAAAGCCCACGGCUCAACCGUGGAAGGUCAUUGGAAACUGGGGAACUUGAAUGCAGAAGAGGAGAGUGGAAUUCCAUGUGUAGCGGUGAAAUGCGUAGAUAUAUGGAGGAACACCAGUGGCGAAGGCGACUCUCUGGUCUGUUAUUGACACUGAGGCUCGAAAGCGUGGGGAGCAAACAG
rnacentral:rRNA from 1 species